CGAACCGCGACCUUCUGAUCGGCAAGUCCUAGGCUCUGUGGUUUAACCCACAGUGCCACCCGCGUCCCAUAUAUGCAUGCUGAUUUUGUGGAUUUUUGUUGUUCUAAGGAACCAGUUCAGCUAUGUGGUUUUACUCUAAAGGUAAAGGUAAAGGGACCCCUGACCAUUAGGUCCAGUCGUGGACGACUCUGGGGUUGCAGUGCUCAUCUUGCUUUACUGGCCGAGGGAGCCGGCGUACAGCUUCCAGGUCACGUGGCCAGCAUGACUAAGCCGCUUCUGGCGAACCAGAGCAGUGCACGGAAACACCGUUUACUUUCCCGCCGGAGCGGUACCUAUUUAUCUACUUGCACUUUGAGGUGCUUUCAAACUGCUAGGUUGGCAGGAGUUGGGACCGAGCAAUGGGAGCUCACCCCGUCACGGGGAUUCAAACCACUGGCCUUCUGAUCGGCAAGCCCUAGGCUCUGCAGUUUAACCCACAGCGCCACCCGCAUCCCGGUUUUACUCUACUAGGCAGCAAUUAUUUCCUGGUCCUACACAGGAAGUGUUGUUAUAGCCGUGAUACUUUUUAGGGUAAAAGAUGUAGGCUGUUUUUUGAAGGAACACUGCAGGUGGUUGCAUUUAUUUGCGAUUUUAACAGCUCCCAAAAGCAGCACACUUAGAUCGAUUGCCGUUCAGCUCGGGUGCGUGUGGUGCGAUGCUCAGCCAAGGGAGAACGUAACCAAGGGAACGGCCCAUCAGCUAAGAAAAUCCAUACUUCUCUUGACAUUCCUUUUAAAAAGUAAGCUUAGUUUUUCCUAAGAGGUGCUUGGUUUUGUGACACCCUCUCCAUGCCAACAGAGCAGCAGCCUGCGCUUUCUUGAUUUAAAUCAGCAUUUCCCAAACUUGGGUAUCCAGCUGUUUUUGGACUACAACUCCCAUCUUCCCUAGCUAGCAGGACCAGUGGUCAGGGAUGAUGGGAACUCUAGUCCAAAACAGUUGGGAGACCCAAGUUUGUGAAUCCUUGAUUUAAAUCCUUAGAUUCUCAUCGACGGACCAUCCAUUUUGCUUUGAAUUUAGCUUUCGGCAAAAUUUGGGAACGGUCUGGUCCAGCGCAGAGAUACCUCUUUCCUUCCUUGUUAAAGCCAGCUUGAUUUCAUGUGAAUACAGACAACUUUCCCUAUAGAAGGUGGCCUCGACCCCGAUAUCCUAAUCUGAGGUUAAUCUCUACAUAUCACCUUUGAGAGAGGUCUGGAGGGUGGUGUCAAGAGAAAUGGCCUUUUUAGUGGUGGCUCCCUAUCUAUGUCAAAUGUUCUCCCCAUGGAGGCCCGCCUGACAUUGACCUUGCCACCAUUUUGACGCCAGGCGAAGCCAUUUUCAUGAACAUUUAGGCCAGAGCUUUCCAGAGCUUGUGCCCUACCUGGAGAUACGAAGAAUCAAACAUGAGCACCUUCUGCAUUCAAAGCAGAUGAUCUCUGUGUCCCCAAGCCAAAGCCCUUCUCCGUGUCCGCAGGCCUGUCAUGAGGUCUCCCCUGUCCUAUAUGAAACCACAAAACGCCUCUCCUGCAGAGGUUGUCACAAAGAAUAUCCGUCACGCCGGACAUGUUCCGCGAAGCCUGUAAGCCACCAGUGAACUUUGUUUAGGAGAUUUAGGGAGCUUAUUGGGGAAUCCCUCCAGGCUUCCUGCCUCCCCACCGCCCCAAAAGAAAACCACUAUCAAAAUUGCAAUCGGAGUUUCUGAAGGGAAAAGAAGGGUGGGAGCACAUCCUGGGGGAAUUUUUCCUUCUGCCUGGGUUCUCUUCCUCAGUUCCGGUUGCUCUUGGAAACAGCUGACCUACAUCUGCAUGUCAAAAUGCGAGGGAGAUUUCGCUUGACAUGGUGUGGCAAGGCUUGGCGGAGCUUGACUUCUGCCUUCGGGGAGCAACCUGGUGCUUACUCAGGACUUUCUGUGCACUGGGAAAUCUUGCAUGCCUGCCCCCCGCCCCUUUCGACUGUGGGCUGUUUUUUCACCACGAGCUCCGUUCCCCUGUUGAAUAUUUAAACUAGCUUAAAAGCAAACACGCAGCUGGAACUGCGAUCAGAGCUGCCUUGACAGAUGCGGCUGGGUCAACCCCACACAUUUCUCCGAUGAAAAUAGGGACACCCUAUUCCAUUAUAAUCAUGCUCAUGAUAAUAAUUUUAUUAUUGAUACCCUGCCCAUCUGACAUGGUUGCCCCAGCCACUCUGAGCGGCUUCCCACAUAUAUAAAAAACACAACAAAGCAUUAAACGCUGAAAAACUUCCCUAUACAGCAGGCAUAGGCAAACUCGGCCCUCCAGAUGUUUUGGGACUACAGCUCCCAUCACCCCUAGCUAACAGGACCAGUGGUCAGGGAUGAUGGGAGUUGUAGUCCCAAAACAUCUGGAGGGCCGAGUUUGCCUAUGCCUGCUAUACAGGGCUGCCUUCCGAUGUCUUUUAAAUGGUAUAUAGCUACUUAUCUCCUUGGCUCGAGGGUUGUAAACUCUCCAACAUUUCUCUGAUGAAAAUAGGGGCGUCCUAAGGAAACACGGGACAUUCUGGGCUCAAGUCAGAAACUGUUAGAAUUCCUGCUCCGUGAUUGCAGUCAUGGGAUUGUUGUCUUUCACAUGACGGUGUAUGUUUUGACUCCACAGAGUGGGAAGUGACGGAGACAGGAUGUUUGUGUUACUGUGUUCCGUAAAGUGCGACUAUUGCCCUUUGUCUUUUUCUCUUUGCUGUCUGAUGCUAGAGAGAGAGGGAGCCAUGUUUCAGUGCUCCGUGUGCGUUUAUAUGUAAAUAAAGUAGAUUAGCCAAAAUGCUGAGUUGCUGAGGUCUGUUACCCAAAGCUGUGAAGACUCUGCGGAUCCCUAAGUGAGCCGGUGUCGGUUGGCAUCGGUCGCUGUGAUGUUCGGGAAGAAGAAAGCUUAUGAAGCUCCCAGUUUUGGCGGCUUCUGUAAAUCUGGGACUGUCCCUGGAAAACAGGGGCACUCGGAGGGUCUGCAAUCCUAUGGCUUUGCCCGACAAGCCCAGUGAGGAUGGGAUUCUCCCAGAGAAUCACAGAGCCAAAGAGCUGGAAGGGAACCCCUUGCAAUGCGGGAAUCACAACUAAAGCAUCCCUGGCAGGAGUGGGGACUUGGGUCUGGAUCCUGCUGGAUUUUUGUGUCGGCGUGUGGAAGGCUGCUGUUGAGAACAGAUUGAAAGCUUUUUUUACAUUCCUGUUGAGACCCUCUUUGGAUCAGGCUGCAGCCCAGCAGCUGAAGACAAGUGCCUCUGCCAAAUGCCAGGAGCCCCUGCCCAAAUAUUCAUUGCAAAAUAAUAAUAAUAAUUGGGAGGGUCUAGGGGUGGUGGCCCCCAUGGGGGCUGCAUUGGGGGACCCCAAGCUUAAUCCUACGUAGAGCACAUGGGAUGUCGGGGAAAUCUCUCAAGUUACUUGCUGCUGGUAGAGAGAUAUUCCUCAGCGCCUCUAGAGAAUCAGAAUUAUUAUUAGACAUAAAACAGUCUGGUGAAUUGCAGGGAUUUGGCCCAGAUUUUGACAUGCGUUGUUUUUCAUCCUGUUUGUGGGUCUGUUAAUUAAAAACGGAGGCUGCCCCAAGGCGUUCUCUGGAGUUCCCUAGAAAUAUUAUUUGCAUCCUGCAUUCAGCGCCUUCAACCUCCCAUGACCUACAUUUUGUUCCAGCUGCAACAUCGCCCGCAAAACCCUUGUGCAUCCAUUUAUCAGUUAUUGGUUGAUUAAUUUAGCGGCUGGCCUUCGUUCCAAGGGAUAUGUAUUCUGGGGAAAACUCUUGGGACCCCUGGAGCCUGUUGCUGCUCAGAGAUUGGAGUGGCUGCGUCACAACCCUUUUCCAGCUCCUUUGGUGAAAGAAAGGCGCCGCAGCGCAAAAAGGCAACCUUUGGAGUCAACGCAGCGUGUCUGGUGUGGCAAAUACAAGCAAGCAUAAAAAAAUCAUAGAGUUGUAGUUGUAGAGGGACCCCAAAGGUCAUCUAGCCCAACCCGACAGAGAUCACCUUCUCAGCAGAUUUCACUUAUACGGGACUGCCUCUCCUGGUAUGCCCCGCAGAGGACCUUAAGGUCCACAAAUGACAACACCUUGGAGGUCCCAGGUCGCAAGGUGGUUAGAUUGGUCUCAACUAGGACCAGAGCCUUUUCAGUACUGGCCCCGACUUGGUGGAACGCUCUGUCACAAGAGACUAGGGCCCUGCGGGACUUGACAUCUUUCUGCAGGGCCUGCAAGACAGAGCUGUUCCGCCUGGCCUUUGGGUUGGACUCAGUCUGACCCUUAUGUUUCCCUCCCCUUAUGGUCUUGAUUUAUCAGCUAUUUUAAAAUGAGGCUGCAUUUUAAAUUGCAUUUUAACCUGUAUUUUAAAUUGGGGUUUUUUUCUCCCUCUCUUUCCCCCCUAUUACCGUAUUUUCCGCUCUAUAACACGCACCCGACCAUAACAUGCACGUAGUUUUUAGAGGAGGAAAAUCCGUAGGCAUGCCACCCGUAGGCAUUCCCUCCAUAACACGCACAGACAUUUCCCCUUACUUUCUAGGAGGAAAAAAGUGAGUGUUAUGGUGCAAAAAAUACGGUAUGUUUUUACUGUGAUUUUAUUUUAUUGGUGUUAGCUGCCCUGAGCCUGGCUCUGGCCGGGGAGGGUGGGGUAUAAAUAAAAUUUAUUAUUAUUAAAAAGGUAUAAACUAGAGUGUGUGUGUGCAGUGUGUGUUGUGUGGAAAUGGCUUGCAAUCUGCCAGACGUUGGGAGAGUGUUGGCGGAGGGGAGGAAGAGAGUGCAAAGGAUGUUGCGGAGAGUUUUGAAGGACUUUGGAAACACCGUAUUUUUUGCUCCAUAAGACGCACUUUUUUCCUCCUUAAAAGUAAGGGGAAAUGUCUGUGCAUCUUAUGGAGUGAAUGCGUGGUCCCUGGAGCUAAAUUGCCCAGGGGCGAAAAGCAGAUCGUGCUUUUUAUUUUUAGAAAGAGGGAAGGGGGUGUUGAAACAAAGCCGCUUAGCAGCUGAUCAGCAAGUGAUCGGGAGGGGAGAUAAGGGACUCUAGCGAUAAAGGAGGCUGCCACAGCAUGAACCACAAAAAUCAAGCAUCCACUGUUUCGUUCAGAAUAUAUUUUUUUCUUGUUUUCCUCCUCUAAAAACUAGGUGUGUCUUAUGGUCAGGUGCGUCUUAUGGAGUGAAAAAUACGGUAGAUUGGAGGAGGCCAGACAGAGAGCUGUGGAGGAGUUUGGAGAGUCACCAGAGGAGGCUGGAUUUGCUCUUUUCAUUAUUUAAAAAAAUGUUUUUUCUAGGGGAUCUGGCAACACGUGAUUUUGCUUAUAUGCAUGCUGGCCAGAAUUGUAACCUGUGUGUAAUGACAGCAGCAAGGAUGCUUCUUGCCCAGAGAUAAAAAGAAGAACUACCGACCAGAGAAUAAUGGCAGAUUAAGCUGGUGGAAUAUGCGGAAAUGGCAAGACGGAUGGGAAAGGUGAGAAAUCAGGAAGACCAAGUAUUUUUUAAAAGACUAGAAUAACAUUUUAACCUAUUUGAGAGAUC